UGAUGGUGACCUAAACCCUCACCAGAGUAACAAUUGGAGGGCAAGUCUGGUGCCAGCAGCCGCGGUAAUUCCAGCUCCAAUAGCGUAUAUUAAACUUGUUGCAGUUAAAAAGCUCGUAGUUGAAUUUCUGCGUCACCGUAUUUUGACUUUUGUCGACUGUCGGUUUCGCUUUUGGGAUUUAUCCCUUUUUACUUUGAGAAAAUUAGAGUGUUUCAAGCAGACUUUUGUCUUGAAUACUUCAGCAUGGAAUAAUAGAGUAGGACUUUGGUUCUAUUUUGUUGGUUUGUGAACCUUAGUAAUGGUUAAUAGGAACGGUUGGGGG
rnacentral:rRNA from 1 species